GAAAUUAGGAUAACAAGAAUUUUUGUUGAUAGAUGAGUAUUGUUUUAGAUUUUUUGAUCAAUAGUUGUAUUUUAUAAAUAUAAUUCCCAAAAAUUCUAUUUUAGGAAAGUUUUCAUUUUUUUCAUAGAAAUAUUGUAGAUUUGGGUUUGUGGUUUAGAAAUUAGGAUAACAAGAAUUUUUGUUGAUAGAUGAGUAUUUGAUUCUCAGAAAUUCUAUUUUUGGAAAGUUUUCAUUUUUUCAUAGAAACAUUGUAGAUUAGGGGUUGUGGUUUAGAAAUUAGGAUAACAAGAAUUGUUGUUGAUAGAUGAGUAUUUUUUUUUUAAAUUUUUGAUCAAUAAGUUACAUUUUUAAAAAAUAAUUCUCAAAAGUUCUAUUUUAGGAAAGUUUUCAUUUUUUAUAGAAAUAUUGUAGAUUUGGGGUUGUGAUUUAGAAAUUAGGAUAACAAUAAUUUUUGUU
rnacentral:lncRNA from 1 species